CCAAUAGCGUAUAUUAAAGUUGUUGCAGUUAAAAAGCUCGUAGUUGAAUUUCGGGAUCAAUAUGUCGGUCGUGCCUUCGGUACGUACUGGUAUCAUUGGUCUCUCCUUUCUGACGAACCAUGAUGUCAUUAAUUUGGUGUUAUGGGGAGUUAGGACUGUUACUUUGAAAAAAUUAGAGUGUUUAAAGCAGGCUCACGCUUGAAUACAUUAGCAUGGAAUAAUGAAAUAGGACGUUUGAUUCUAUUUUGUUGGUUUCUAGGAUCGACGUAAUGAUUAAUAGGGAUAGUUGGGGGCAUUAGUAUUCAAUUGUCAGAGGUGAAAUUCUUGGAUUUAUUGAAGACUAACUACUGCGAAAGCAUUUGCCAAGGAUGUUUUCAUUAAUCAAGAACGAAAGUUAGGGGAUCGAAGACGAUCAGAUACCGUCGUAGUCUUAACCAUAAACUAUGCCGACUAGGGAUCGGAUGAUGUUAAUUUUUUAAUGACUCAUUCGGCGCCUUACG
rnacentral:rRNA from 1 species